CCCAGUCAGCCAGGUCUACACAGGGCUUAGGAUGUGGAUAUCCAUUGUAUGUUGGGAAAACUAUUGAUACUGUAUCUUUGUGUCCAUAUAUUUAGCUCUCCAUCAAAGAUAUUAUUCUGUAUAUACAUUUCCUGAAAUGAUCAUGAGUACCCAAUUAAUGAGAAACAUAACAGUAUUGCUCUAAAGCCUCUCAGGAAAUGAAAACAUUGAUUAAGGGAGCGUUAAAUAAAUCCAUGGCAUGCUUGCCACCUGUGGGGCUAUAAUAAUGUCCUUUCCUGGGCUACUGCCAAGGGCCAUGUCCUGUCCAUGGCCCUGAGGAAGCUGUGGAGGUCUAUAUUGAUAUCCAUAUCUCCUUUUACCAGUGAGGGCCUUGCAGCCACCUGCAGUCUGGGCCACCACCUAUGAAAAUGUUGUUGUCAAGAGGAUAUGCCCCCCAAAAGAGCACGUGUGUCUUAGAAGCCUGUGCUGCCACCUAGGACCAUAAUGACAUCUGGGCCAGGGCUGCUGCUGAGGGGUGUGUCUGGGUCCAUGGCCCUGGAACAGCCAGGGUCUGUUUGAUGUCUCAGGCUCCUGUGGCCAUCAAAGACAGUGCAGAUGCCUGGAAUCUGGGCCACUACCUGAGCUCAUGGUGCUGCUGCGGCUAAUCCAUUCUGAGUGACCUACACUGCCAACCAGGCCCACGGUUACAUCCAGGACUGGGCUGCAGUCUAGAAUCAUGUCUGGGUCGAUGUUGCAAAGACACCCAGGAUCUGUGUUCAUGUCCAUGGCCUGUGUUGCCAACAAAGACCACACACAGGGAGGUAGAAGUCUAGGCUUCCAUCUAGGUCCAUGUUAGUGUCCAAGGGCUGUGCUUAUGCUGGGGCCAUACAAAUCUGAGUGGCCAAUGCUGGCACUAGAGACCCUGGUUUCCUCCAGGCCUAGGUUGCUUUCAAAAGACAUGCCUGUAUCUGUUGCCCUGCAACAGCCUUGUCUGUGUUGAUGUCAGUGGCUUCUGCUACCUCCAAAGACAGGGUAGGUUAACACAGAAUUAACAUCACCCUUCACAAGCUGCAGCACUGGAGGAGCUGGACCUGCCCCUCACCAACUGUAGCAGUCGGGUGAGUGGGUCCUGUACCUGGACCGAGCAGCACAUUAGAGAGUACCUUGUUAGUGGUGGUCCAGUGAGCUGUCCCUGAGGUUGUGAUAGCAAAAGAACUGAGUCCACCUCCUUCUUCCACCUUGUGUUGUUCAGGGUGAGAGGAAGAUACCUGUCCCACCUAAGCAUAUGCUACCUGCAGCUGGUGGGAGAGUUGGCCUCUGGGGAAUAAGAACAGGAGAGCUGGGGCAGCCUCUCACCAACUGCAGCAAUUGGGAUUGUGGGCUCGGCACCUCACCUGGACAAAACAGCAGAGCUGUGUCUUGUGGUCCAAGGACCAGAACCUGGGCUGAGUUAUCCCACCCUAGCAUCGUCUUCAUCUAUGAACUGCUGGAGUAUGUGAAAGGCCGGGACACAUCUAUCCAAAGCUGCAGGAUGUCCAUGACUCAAGGCAUCAAUAGGAUAUCCAAGAAGAGUACAAGUGAAGGUCCAUUAUCUAUAGUGUAGAGAAGCCAGAGAGGCCAGGAGCACUUACAUGAAAAGAAGUAUGGACUAAAGAGUA